CUGACGAGUGGCGGACGGGUGAGUAAUGUCUGGGAAACUGCCUGAUGGAGGGGGAUAACUACUGGAAACGGUAGCUAAUACCGCAUAACGUCCCAAGACCAAAGAGGGGGACCUUCGGGCCUCUUGCCAUCGGAUGUGCCCAGAUGGGAUUAGCUUGUUGGUGGGGUAACGGCUCACCAAGGCGACGAUCCCUAGCUGGUCUGAGAGGAUGACCAGCCACACUGGAACUGAGACACGGUCCAAACUCCUACGGGAGGCAGCAGUGGGGAAUAUUGCACAAUGGGCGCAAGCCUGAUGCAGCCAUGCCGCGUGUAUGAAGAAGGCCUUCGGGUUGUAAAGUACUUUCAGCGGGGAGGAAGGGAGUAAAGUUAAUACCUUUGCUCAUUGACGUUACCCGCAGAAGAAGCACCGGCUAACUCCGUGCCAGCAGCCGCGGUAAUACGGAGGGUGCAAGCGUUAAUCGGAAUUACUGGGCGUAAAGCGCACGCAGGCGGUUUGUUAAGUCAGAUGUGAAAUCCCCGGGCUCAACCUGGGAACUGCAUCUGAUACUGGCAAGCUUGAGUCUCGUAGAGGGGGGUAGAAUUCCAGGUGUAGCGGUGAAAUGCGUAGAGAUCUGGAGGAA
rnacentral:rRNA from 1 species